rnacentral:lncRNA from 1 species
AUAUUUCUCAUAUUUUCCUGGGCUUAAAAUGUCUUGAGAUAUUUUGCCACCAGCUACAGGCUGGCAUGAUGGGUAGCAUAUCUUUGGUGCAGUUGCCUUAGAUUCACUUACCUAGUUAGACCCAGAAGAAUUUCUUCUACUAGCUUUCCUGAAUGCCUUGUUUCCUCUCCUCUCGGUCUCCAAAUGGCCUGGUCAGCCUGUAGCAGUGCUCUUCCUCAUCUUCCAUCUAGCUUGAGAAGGAUGUUCUCCAUAUAGAGUUAAGUGAGUGCCUAAUCCCUCUUUUUGUAAGAUGGUUUCUUCAUCUUUGAGGAACAACAGCUCCAUCUUCAACUUUUUAAUUUUUUGAUUUUACAGUUUGGUAGAUUUCAAACUGGAAUACCUAGCAUGUGCUUGCUAAAUAAUUUUAUGCCAGCCUUAUCCUGUGUUCUAGCUGUUCUUAAUAGCAGGUGCAAAAAUGCCUCUUUUUCAGCAAGGUUGAAGUUGGGAAUGUCCUUUCAAAUCAGAAAAAAUAGGCCAUAGACUCAUUCCCCAGCACAGAUGAACAUUCUGUGAAAUGGUACUGGCCCCAGGAGGACUUCAACCGUUCCUCUACUCUUGGCCUUGAACCUACCUCUGGAUUGGAUCUUACUAUUGUAGCUGCUCACAGCAUCCUCCUGCAUGCUUAGGUAAUGCUUUGGGGGAAUACUGGUAAAACACAGUAUAUAUUUUUUCACCUCCUUUCAGAGGACUUGGAGGUAAGUUGCAUUCAUUCACUGAAGCUUCCCUCUUGCUAUCUGAUGAUAAAAGCUUGCACUUUGUUAUAUCAGCAUUUGUUAGAGCCAAUAUUUAAGAAUAAGAUUUAGAAAAUCUGUCAUGACCCAUCAUCAAACUAUGGCUUAACCUUGCAGCAUAUCAAAUCUUGUUUCAAGCUAGAUAUCUUUAUUUGAUAUCUCUAGUGCAAGACCAACAACAUAUCAAGAGAUCCAUAGACAUGAAAGCAAAGCUCUUGUGUUUUUUUCCAUCCAGACACCUCAAUUUAUUUUAUACAUUUGUUGGUUUUUCCUGUUAUGUUUUAUAUAAUAUAUGGACUUAACUACAAAAUAAAAUAACAGUAAUAAAAUAACAAAAGAGGAUAAUACUUCCUCUUGUGCU